CGCCCUUGAGUUUGAUCAUGGCUCAGAUUGAACGCUGGCGGCAUGCCUUACACAUGCAAGUCGAACGGCAGCAUAGGAGCUUGCUCCUGAUGGCGAGUGGCGAACGGGUGAGUAAUAUAUCGGAACGUACCCUAGAGUGGGGGAUAACUAGUCGAAAGAUUAGCUAAUACCGCAUACGAUCUACGGAUGAAAGUGGGGGAUCGCAAGACCUCAUGCUCAUGGAGCGGCCGAUAUCUGAUUAGCUAGUUGGUGGGGUAAAAGCUCACCAAGGCGACGAUCAGUAGCUGGUCUGAGAGGACGACCAGCCACACUGGAACUGAUACACGGUCCAGACUCCUACGGGAGGCAGCAGUGGGGAAUUUUGGACAAUGGGGGCAACCCUGAUCCAGCAAUGCUGUUUUUUUGAAGAAGGCCUUCGGGUUGUAAAGCUCUUUUGUCAGGGAAGAAACGGUGAGGGCUAAUAUCCCUUGCUAAUGACGGUACCUGAAGAAUAAGCACCGGCUAACUACGUGCCAGCAGCCGCGGUAA
rnacentral:rRNA from 1 species